rnacentral:misc_RNA from 1 species
GCUUUGAUGAAAUUAGAGAGUUAAAAAUAGAGGAGGGAAAAUGACAUUUAGAGAAAAACACAAGAUUAUACUUCCUCUCCAAAAAGGAGUAAUAUAAUCAUACAUCACACCAGUAGUAGAUCCUGAUUCUAAUUCGUGGGAUCCACUCAUCCCAACAAGCAGGUCUAUGAGACUUUAUGGUUGUUGGCCUCACCAAUCUUCCAAUCCCAACAACUUCACACCCAUCAUCUAGUUUUUCUGGAUUGUGAUUUCCUUCUAUCUUUCAUGCUCUCACGCUUAGGAUUCGAAAACUAAGCAUCUAAAGUUACAUUUUACAUGCCACAGCAAUCUUGGAGAAACCAAUCUCCCUUUCACAUCAUGAAGCAAAAACUAAAAUGUGAAGAGUAAAAAACAAAACCAAAAAAAGAAAAGAGGCAAAAUUCUCCACCCCAAGACACUGGCACAAAAAUAGCCAAGGACAAGCCUUCUACUCUCUCUCCUCUUUAGUCAACUGGGAAUAGCUUCUCUAAAAUAAACCUUCUGUACAAAAUGCUAGAUCAGUCACAUACCCACCAAUACCAUUGCAAAUUCCAUUCCUCACUAAUUUUCAGGGGUACUAAAAUGAUUUAUGAAUAUAUAUUUAAUAAUUGUGUAAAUUCUUCACUCAGUUGUUGUAGUGGUCAGUGGAGAAGUAUCCUUUGAUGCUUGGUCUCUGUUGGAGAGUCAGAGCCAUCACAGAGUACCCUCUUCCUAUUGCAACCAUUAAUGUUUAUCAAGGAGUCUUGGUGGAGGAGCAGUGGUGGUGGUGGUGG